rnacentral:tRNA from 1 species
AAGACCUGUGAGCCUCUAAUUCACAUCAACUGAAUGCAACUCAACCGCUUUAACUAAGCUAAGGCCUA